rnacentral:lncRNA from 1 species
AGGUUUAAUGUCCACUCUACAAUGAAACACUCUACUCCCUGUGUCCACCCCACUGACCCCAACCCAUUGCCAGAGGAAGGCUGUAACAGGGGAUGCAGUCCAAACUCAGGGAUAUGACAUCAAUCAAACUUAGGCCACAGACUCAGAGACAGAUGUGACAUCACUGUGACAUCAUCAGCACUGGCUUGGAGGUGGUAGAGAAGAUGACGGUGUUUAGGGUCAUGCGCAUCACACUGUUGGUUGUUUUACUGGGCAAUACAUCCACCAAGAGUUCAGCAAGUAAAAAAGAGGACCAAAGAGAGCCCAUUUUCAAGGAGUUAGUAUCAAUAUGGCGUAAAGGAGGGGGAUGGUAUCCUAGCAAAGAGCCUGCCUCCCCGGAGAGAACCCAAGACCAGCAGGUCCACAGCGUGGUGAGGAGCAUCAUGGGAAGUCUGAAGACCCUGGGCCUGCUGCCCAGUAAGAACAUGGGCCUCCCCUCCCUCCAGAAGCCUGUGGACAGGCACCGUCUGUCAGGCUUCCUCUACAAUAUCUCCAUGUACCUUCAGGAGAUGGGUGCUGAGCUGGAGGAGCGACAGCUUGUCUCUGACGAGGAACAACUGUGGGAGAAGGUAUUACAGUCCUUCAUCCAGUCAGAAGGGGGUGCUGCGCUAAACCAGUGGGACAGCCGGGAGCCCCCCAGGCCCAGCGUCAGACUCCAGGACUGGUUCCUGUCCCUGAGAGGCAGCCCUCACUGGGACGGGCUGCUGGGGCUUCUGCAGAGCCUCAUGUCCCUGUCUGAGCGGCAGCCCUACAGGCCCCUGCUUGACUUCCUGUCCCAGAACUGGAGGACAGUGAGUGCCCUGCUUGAGGCGGCCCUGCAGGCGCUGGUCAGCGGGACCUAUGGCCAGGCCAGCGCCGGGCUGCAGGGCUUCAUCUGUGCCCUUAGGGGCCGAGGUGAAUGUGCCUUCAGUGUCAGCUGGCUAACACAGUUCCUCCGCUUCAUGGAGAUACGCAACUGGAAGCCCGUGGUGAACCUGCACCCUGCGGGGAUGGGGGCCAACCAGAGAAGGGGCUCGGCUGCUUUUGGGCGCCUGAAACCCUUCAGCAUGCCCCCCAAGGCCCUGAGAGAGG